CUACAGGUGUUCCUGAUUUAAUAUGAAUGAUCCAAUAAAGACAGAGGAUUGAGGCUACACAAGAAGACUGAAGCAUGGAAGUGAAGUCAGAAGGUGAAAGGCGGUGGGAUACAGUGUCUAAGUGGAGUAGUCAAACUUUGAUAUGAACAGGGGUGCUUCUUCCGUCGUCAACAGAAGGGAAGACAGAGAAUGAAGAGUGAGAGACCAUCAUCAAGGCAAGAACCUUUUCUUCAUGGAAACCCAAUGGCCACAGAGUACUACACGCAUUACUUCCUCAACCGACUCUCCGCCAGGUGCUUGCAAUUGGAAGAGACUAGUGCUUGUUACUUCUGAGACCUGCAAACUUCUGUCAAAGGGACGAAAUGAGGAGUGUGGUGUUACGUUGCCCUUCACCACAGCACCAGAGAAGCCCUGAGCAGGAAGCAGGUGUGUGCGGCCCACUCUUGAGUGAGAUGCUGGUCAGAGAAAAAGGGUCGGGGCCUAUGUGGAAUCACAGUGAGAGGUGAGGACAGGAGAUGUACGCAAAAGGCUUCCAGUGCGUAUAUUGGGAUAGCUCAUGAGACUCAAGGGUAACAGUGCAGCCGGUACCAAAAGUAUCUGGAGUCAAGAACUCAAA